rnacentral:rRNA from 1 species
UACGUAGGGAGCAAGCGUUGUCCGGAAUCAUUGGGCGUAAAGCGCGCGUAGGUGGCCCCGUAAGUCCGCUGUGAAAGUCAAAGGCUCAACCUUUGAAAGCCGGUGGAUACUGUGGGACUAGAGUACGGAAGAGGCGAGUGGAAUUCCUGGUGUAGCGGUGAAAUGCGCAGAUAUCAGGAGGAACACCAAUUGCGAAGGCAGCUCGCUGGGACGUUACUGACGCUGAGACGCGAAAGCGUGGGGAGCAAACAGG